rnacentral:rRNA from 1 species
AGUGAACGCUGGCGGUAGGCCUAACACAUGCAAGUCGAACGGCAGCACAGUAAGAGCUUGCUCUUACGGGUGGCGAGUGGCGGACGGGUGAGGAAUACAUCGGAAUCUACUUUUUCGUGGGUGAUAACGUAGGGAAACUUACGCUAAUACCGCAUACUACCUACGGGUGAAAUCAGGGGAUCUUCGGACCUUUCGCGAUUGAAUGAGCCGAUGUCGGAUUAGCUAGUUGGCGGGGUAAAGGCCCACCAAGGCGACGAUCCGUAGCUGGUCUGAGAGGAUGAUCAGCCACACUGGAACUGAGACACGGUCCAGACUCCUACGGGAGGCAGCAGUGGGGAAUAUUGGACAAUGGGCGCAAGCCUGAUCCAGCCAUACCGCGUGGGUGAAGAAGGCCUUCGGGUUGUAAAGCCCUUUUGUUGGGAAAGAAAAGCAGCAGGUUAAUACCCCGCUGUUCUGACGGUACCCAAAGAAUAAGCACCGGCUAACUUCGUG